GCCCGCUUUUUAACAGCAGCUUCCCGCAGGCAGAGUAGAGGCCGCUAGGCAGCGCCCAACCGACCCCGCAGCGGCGAGCAACAAUUUCCUCUUACUGAGAACCUGGUAGAGGAAGAAAAGAUUCAAGACGCAUUUGACAAAUGAUCCACAUAUUCAUUAGAUAUAUUUCUUUUGUUGCAAGAAAUCUUACUCAUAAAGAAAAGGCUUAAUCGCAUUCAGUUUAAAGCUGGCUUGAUUUCCUCACCUGUUAGACUAAUAAACUCAUUGAAGUUCAA